CCUACGGGUGGCAGCAGUGGGGAAUAUUCGGCAAUGGAGGAAACUCUGACCCAGCAACGCCGCGUGAAUGAUGAAGGUCUUCGGAUUGUAAACUUCUUUUCUCAGGGACGAAGAAAGUGACGGUACCUGAGUAAUAAGCCACGGCUAACUACGUGCCAGCAGCCGCGGUAAUACGUAGGUGGCAAGCGUUAUCCGGAUUUAUUGGGUGUAAAGGGCGUGUAGGCGGGAGCGCAAGUCAGAUGUGAAAUCUCAGGGCUCAACCCUGAGCCUGCAUUUGAAACUGUGUUUCUUGAGUGCUGGAGAGGCAAUCGGAAUUCCGGGUGUAGCGGUGAAAUGCGUAGAUAAACGGAGGAACACCAGUGGCGAAGGCGGAUUGCUGGACAGUAACUGACGCUGAGGAGCGAAAGCGUGGGGAGCAAACAGGAUUAGAUACCCCUGUAGU
rnacentral:rRNA from 1 species